GGUAUGGCCACACAUACUCUGCCAACCUGAGUUUCCAAGGAGGUGCCAUUAGGUCAGCAUGGGCAGAAGUGGGCUUGGCACUUACAAAUCGCUAUAGCAACUCUGCUGCGGAUUCUAACCGAAAUGGCCCCAUGUUGGAGGCUUAGUCUCCAACGUUGCACUACUGGAGAGCACUGGUGACACCAUCUAGCAGAAUCUACCAUGCUCCACCAAAUCGGCACCAGUCAGCAGGAGCCACAAGAACCAGCAGGAAUACCAGGAGAAGCUCUCUGCCUUGCCUCUCUCACCAAAGUGAACGUCAGUGAGACCAACGAAGCGUUGCACAGCUAACUAUGCAAAUGCAUUAUAACUGCCCAUUCAGCCUAUACUCUCUCCAAAUGCCAUGUGUCAUCUCACAGUGUUCCUGUACAACCCACUCUGGCCCAGAACUAACAGUCUUCCUGCCUGUUUCCCAGAGCUGGAUCUCUGAUGUGUGUCAGUACACAGGGUAAUUGCUGUGCAACAAACUCCUUUCUGUGCUCGAAGUGUGGCUGCCACGUCUCUCAUGUGUCCAUCAGCUGUUCACGUUGUCAUGA
rnacentral:lncRNA from 1 species